rnacentral:rRNA from 1 species
UUAGCUAGUUGGAGAGGUAACGGCUCACCAAGGCGACGAUGGCUAGGGGUCCUGAGAGGAUGAUCCCCCACACUGGUACUGAGAUACGGACCAGACUCCUACGGGAGGCAGCAGUAGGGAAUAUUGGGCAAUGGACGCAAGUCUGACCCAGCCAUGCCGCGUGCAGGAAGACGGCCUUCUGGGUUGUAAACUGCUUUUAUCUGGGAAGAAAACACCCAUGCGUGGGAAACUGACGGUACCAGAUGAAUAAGCACCGGCUAACUCCGUGCCAGCAGCCGCGGUAAUACGGAGGGUGCAAGCGUUGUCCGGAUUUAUUGGGUUUAAAGGGUGCGUAGGCGGCCCGUUAAGUCCGCGGUGAAAGCCUCCAGCUCAACUGGAGAACUGCCAUGGAUACUGGCGGGCUUGAGUACAGACGAGGUUGGCGGAAUUGAAGAUGUAGCGGUGAAAUGCAUAGAUAUCUUCAAGAACACCGAUUGCGUAGGCAGCUAACUAGGCUGUAACUGACGCUGAGGCACGAAAGCGUGGGGAGCGAACAGGAUUAGAUACCCUGGUAGUCCACGCCGUAAACGAUGAUUACUCGAUGUUGGCGAUACACAGUCAGCGUCUUAGCGAAAGCGUUAAGUAAUCCACCUGGGGAGUACGCCCGCAAGGAUGAAACUCAAAGGAAUUGACGGGGGCCCGCACAAGCGGUG